rnacentral:sRNA from 1 species
GUGCUUUUUAGAUCUGUGGAUUUUUUGUUUACGUCAAAUUUGUAAAAAUUCUGGCCAGUAUUUCUUCUAGUAAUUUUUCUGUUCUCCCCAUCCCUACCUUAGGGACUGCAGUUACACAUACAUGUAAUAUCUGGGAUUGCGUAGUUAUCCCAGAACCGCUGAUACUCUUUUAAUGGCAACAGUUUUUUCUCUCUCUCUGUGACUUCUUUGGGAUCAUUUCUGUUGCUAUGGCUUCAAGCUCACUUAUUUUUUCUCCUGCAUGGUUGAGUGUGCUUUUAACCCAGCCCGUGUAUUUUUCAUCUCAGAUAUUACAGCUUUCAUCUUCAGAAGUUUGAGUUCCAUGUUUCUAGUUUUUUGUUGUUGAUGUUGUUUGUUUGUUUGUUUGUUUUUAAGAGGUUCUGCUUUGUUGCCCAGGCUGGAGUGCGGUAGUGUAAUUAUAGCUCACCAUAACCUUAAACUCCUGGGCUCAAGUGAUCUUCUGGCCUUGGCCUCCUGAAUAGCUAGGAAUAAAGGUGUAUGCCACCAUGUCUGGCUCUUUUUUUUUUUUAUUUUUUGAAGAGAUGAGGUCUCACUAUGUUGCCCAGGCUGGCCUUGAAGUCCUGGCCUUAAAUGAUACCCUCACUUUGGCCUCCCAGAGUGCUGGGAUUACAGGCGUAAGCUACCAGGCCCUGGUAAUCUUUGAUUAGAUGCCAGACACUGUGAAUUUUACUAUUUGAGUCCUGGACACUUCUAUAUUCCUAUAAAUAUUCUCAGUCUUUGUUCUGGGAUGUAGUUAAGUUACUUAGAAAUAAUUUGAUUUCUUUGUGUUUUCCUCUGGCAGGACCAGAGCAUCCUUUAGGCUGUGAUUAAUUAUCUACUACUGAGGCAAGACCCUCUGAGUACUUUACUCAGUGCCCCAUGAAUGAUUAGGUUUUCUAGUCUGGCAGGUGGGGACAGGCAUUAUUCCCAGCCCUGUGUGAACAUUUUGUAUUGUUUCUCCUAAUCCUUUCCGGUGAUUCUUUCUCCAGCCUUGAGUAGUUUCUUUACUUGCGUGAACUGACCCAUUACCCUGCUAAAUGCCCUGCAGAUCCCCUGGAUUCUCUCUCUUCUCUGGUACCGUUCAUAUGAACUCUAGCCACCUUGGUCUCCUUAACUCAGGGAGUCCACCAGACUCUGCCUAGAACUCCCCUCCCUGUGCCACAGCCUGGAAGCUUUCUCUAAGCAGUUAGCUGGGAUAGUUCUAGGGGUUACCUCAUUUGUUACCUGUUUCUCAGGGUCCUGCCCUUCAUUGCCUGAUGUCCAGUAUUCUGAAGUUUAUCAUUUUAUAUUAUUUUGCAUGGGUUUUUUCCUAUUAGGCAGGAAAAUCAGUCCCUUUUACUCUAUCUUGGCUGGAAAUGGAAGAGUAGCUAGAUUCUUAAAGAAUGUUUGACUUGAUUUAUUUGUGUGUGUAUUUAUGUGUGUGUGUGUGUGUGUGUGUGUGUGUGUGUUUAUUCUCAUCCAGAGAAAGCAAUUGAGCUGCGUCUGGCAAAAAUUGACCAUACUGCAAUUCACCCACAUUUACUUGACAUGAAGAUUGGACAAGGGAAAUAUGAGCCGGGCUUCUUCCCUAAGCUGCAGUCUGAUGUACUUUCCACUGGGCCAGCCAGCAACAAGUGGACGAAAAGGAAUGCCCCUGCCCAGUGGAGGCGGAAAGAUCGGCAGAAGCAGCACACAGAACACCUGCGUUUAGAUAAUGACCAGAGGGAGAAGUACAUCCAGGAAGCCAGGACUAUGGGCAGCACUAUCCGCCAGCCCAAACUGUCCAACCUCUCUCCAUCAGUGAUUGCCCAGACCAAUUGGAAGUUUGUAGAGGGCCUGCUGAAGGAAUGCCGCAAUAAGACCAAGAGGAUGCUGGUGGAAAAGAUGGGCCGAGAAGCUGUGGAGCUAGGGCAUGGGGAGGUGAACAUCACAGGGGUGGAAGAGAACACCCUGAUUGCCAGCCUUUGUGAUCUCCUGGAAAGGAUCUGGAGUCAUGGACUACAAGUGAAACAGGGGAAAUCAGCCUUAUGGUCCCACCUGUUACAUUAUCAGGACAACCGGCAGAGAAAACUCACAUCAGGAAGCCUCAGUACCUCAGGAAUACUUCUUGAUUCAGAACGUAGGAAGUCUGAUGCCAGCUCACUCAUGCCUCCCCUGAGGAUCUCCCUGAUUCAGGAUAUGAGGCACAUCCAGAACAUCGGGGAAAUCAAGACUGAUGUGGGAAAGGCCAGAGCAUGGGUGCGACUGUCCAUGGAAAAAAAGUUACUUUCCAGACACCUGAAGCAGCUCCUCUCAGACCAUGAGCUCACCAAAAAGUUAUAUAAGCGCUAUGCCUUCCUGCGCUGUGAUGACGAGAAGGAGCAGUUCCUCUAUCACCUCCUGUCUUUCAAUGCCGUCGAUUACUUUUGCUUCACCAAUGUCUUCACAACUAUCCUGAUCCCGUACCACAUUCUGAUCGUACCAAGCAAGAAGCUGGGGGGCUCCAUGUUCACUGCCAACCCAUGGAUCUGUAUAUCAGGAGAAUUGGGUGAGACACAGAUCCUGCAGAUUCCCAGGAAUGUGCUAGAGAUGACCUUCGAGUGCCAGAACUUGGGGAAGCUUACUACUGUCCAGAUUGGCCAUGAUAACUCUGGACUGUAUGCCAAAUGGCUGGUGGAGUAUGUGAUGGUCAGGAAUGAGAUCACAGGACAUACCUACAGGUUCCCGUGUGGCCGGUGGUUAGGGAAGGGCAUGGAUGAUGGAAGCCUGGAGCGGAUCCUAGUUGGGGAGCUGCUCACAUCCCAGCCUGAGGUGGAUGAGAGGCCAUGCCGGACCCCGCCGCUGCAGCAGUCCCCCAGUGUCAUCCGGAGGCUUGUUACCAUCUCACCCAACAACAAGCCCAAGCUGAACACUGGGCAGAUCCAGGAGUCCAUCGGGGAGGCAGUCAAUGGCAUUGUGAAGCACUUCCAUAAGCCUGAGAAAGAGCGAGGCAGUCUGACGCUGUUGCUCUGUGGAGAGUGUGGCCUUGUCUCGGCCUUGGAACAGGCUUUCCAGCAUGGAUUUAAAUCGCCCCGGCUCUUCAAAAAUGUCUUCAUUUGGGAUUUCCUGGAAAAAGCACAAACCUAUUAUGAGACAUUAGAGCAGAAUGAAGUAGUCCCUGAGGAAAACUGGCAUACAAGAGCCCGGAACUUCUGCCGAUUUGUCACUGCAAUCAACAAUACUCCCCGGAACAUCGGCAAGGAUGGCAAGUUUCAGAUGCUGGUGUGCUUGGGAGCCAGAGAUCACCUCCUACACCACUGGAUUGCCCUGCUGGCUGACUGCCCCAUCACUGCACACAUGUAUGAGGAUGUGGCACUGAUCAAAGACCAUACACUUGUCAAUUCCUUGAUUCGUGUGCUGCAGACAUUGCAGGAGUUCAACAUCACGCUGGAGACGUCCCUUGUCAAGGGCAUCGACAUCUGACCUCCCAGCACCAGCCAGCAGCAGGACUGAGAAAGACUCACCCUGCAGCUCUGACCUUUCUUCCCAAAGGGACUUUAGCGAUUGUGCAGGAGUAGGAGACAAAAUGUACACUCACUGUAAAAAGAAAACUAGAGGAUUUUUGGAAUAAAUAAUCUAUUUUAGAGUUU